rnacentral:rRNA from 1 species
AACAAACGCUGGCGGCAGGCCUAACACAUGCAAGUCGAGCGAAGCCUUCGGGCUUAGCGGCGGACGGGUGAGUAACGCGUGGGAACGUGCCCUUGGUACGGAAUAGCCCCGGGAAACUGGGAGUAAUACCGUAUGUGCCCUUCGGGGGAAAGAUUUAUCGCCAAAGGAUCGGCCCGCGUUGGACUAGGUAGUUGGUGGGGUAAUGGCCUACCAAGCCGACGAUCCAUAGCUGGUUUGAGAGGAUGAUCAGCCACACUGGGACUGAGACACGGCCCAGACUCCUACGGGAGGCAGCAGUGGGGAAUCUUAGACAAUGGGGGAAACCCUGAUCUAGCCAUGCCGCGUGAUCGAUGAAGGCCUUAGGGUUGUAAAGAUCUUUCAGUGGGGAAGAUAAUGACUGUACCCACAGAAGAAGCCCCGGCUAACUCCGUGCCAGCCGCCGCAGUAACAC